CAGAGUAGAACGCAGAGCGUUAGUGUUUUCAGAACACUUGAAGUGCCGUCGGAACAGGGAGUUGUCCGCGGACGAAGUCGCAGAGAGCGACGCGGUUUUGCGUUCGCAUCCCGCUGU
rnacentral:ncRNA from 1 species